GUAGCCAACGCUGUUUAUAUAUAUAUACAUAUAUUUAAAAAUAUUGGGACAUAUAAAAAAAGACAACUUUGUUCCGCAGAGUAGCUGUUGACAUUAUAGUUGCGCAGGAACUUUGACUCUAGAGAAUCUCGGGCAAAUCGCACAUCCCUGUGGUGGCGACUUUGCAUGCGGAUGUCAUCCAUAUCAACUUUCAAUGCCAGUUUCUGCGCCUACCAUGGUGACCACGGGUAACGGGGAAUCAGGGUUCCAUUCCAUACAGGGACCCUGAGAAACGGCUACCACAUACAAGGAAGGCAUCAGGCGCGCAAAUGACCCACUCCCGACGCGGGAAGGUAGUGAC